UGCGUGGAUUUGAUAGGUUCGGAUCCGGUUAAAAUGCCCAUCCUCGUACAAAUCAUUUACUCAUUCGAUGUUGUUAUUGACAGCGAACGAGAGAAGUUGAGUGAUGAGGACACAGCUUUAGGAUACAAACCAAAUUGUUUAGUCUAAAGUCUAAACCAACAUUUAUUUAGAGAAAAAAGAAAAAAAAGUUCGUGGUACAUUAUAUGCAUCCUUGCUCUGAAAACACUUUAAAAGAAUUUAAAGAAACUAAACUCUUGUUCUGUAAGAUUUUG
rnacentral:lncRNA from 1 species